CUAUAGUUAGUUUAAACUAAAAUAUUAAUUUUGGAGAUUAAUGAUGGAUGUGAAAUUCUUCUACUAUAGA
rnacentral:tRNA from 1 species